rnacentral:rRNA from 1 species
CACGUAGGGCGCAAGCGUUGUCCGGAAUUAUUGGGCGUAAAGAGCUCGUAGGCGGUCUGUCGCGUCGGCUGUGAAAACCCGUGGCUCAACCCCGGGCCUGCAGUCGAUACGGGCAGACUAGAGUGCGGUAGGGGGAGACUGGAAUUCCUGGUGUAGCGGUGGAAUGCGCAGAUAUCAGGAGGAACACCGAUGGCGAAGGCAGGUCUCUGGGCCGCAACUGACGCUGAGGAGCGAAAGCAUGGGGAGCGAACAGG